rnacentral:rRNA from 1 species
GACGAGGCACUACGGUGCUGAAGCAACAAAUGCCCUGCUUCCAGGAAAAGCCUCUAAGCAUCAGGUAACAUCAAAUCGUACCCCAAACCGACACAGGUGGUCAGGUAGAGAAUACCAAGGCGCUUGAGAGAACUCGGGUGAAGGAACUAGGCAAAAUGGUGCCGUAACUUCGGGAGAAGGCACGCUGACAUGUAGGUGAAGUGAUUUACUCAUGGAGCUGAAGUCAGUCGAAGAUACCAGCUGGCUGCAACUGUUUAUUAAAAACACAGCACUGUGCAAACACGAAAGUGGACGUAUACGGUGUGACGCCUGCCCGGUGCCGGAAGGUUAAUUGAUGGGGUCAGCGCAAGCGAAGCUCCUGAUCGAAGCCCCGGUAAACGGCGGCCGUAACUAUAACGGUCCUAAGGUAGCGAAAUUCCUUGUCGGGUAAGUUCCGACCUGCACGAAUGGCGUAAUGAUGGCCAGGCUGUCUCCACCCGAGACUCAGUGAAAUUGAACUCGCUGUGAAGAUGCAGUGUACCCGCGGCAAGACGGAAAGACCCCGUGAACCUUUACUAUAGCUUGACACUGAACAUUGAGCCUUGAUGUGUAGGAUAGGUGGGAGGCUUUGAAGUGUGGACGCCAGUCUGCAUGGAGCCGACCUUGAAAUACCACCCUUUAAUGUUUGAUGUUCUAACGUGGACCCGUAAUCCGGGUUGCGGACAGUGUCUGGUGGGUAGUUUGACUGGGGCGGUCUCCUCCUAAAGAGUAACGGAGGAGCACGAAGGUUGGCUAAUCCUGGUCGGACAUCAGGAGGUUAGUGCAAUGGCAUAAGCCAGCUUGACUGCGAGCGUGACGGCGCGAGCAGGUGCGAAAGCAGGUCAUAGUGAUCCGGUGGUUCUGAAUGGAAGGGCCAUCGCUCAACGGAUAAAAGGUACUCCGGGGAUAACAGGCUGAUACCGCCCAAGAGUUCAUAUCGACGGCGGUGUUUGGCACCUCGAUGUCGGCUCAUCACAUCCUGGGGCUGAAGUAGGUCCCAAGGGUAUGGCUGUUCGCCAUUUAAAGUGGUACGCGAGCUGGGUUUAGAACGUCGUGAGACAGUUCGGUCCCUAUCUGCCGUGGGCGCUGGAGAACUGAGGGGGGCUGCUCCUAGUACGAGAGGACCGGAGUGGACGCAUCACUGGUGUUCGGGUUGUCAUGCCAAUGGCACUGCCCGGUAGCUAAAUGCGGAAGAGAUAAGUGCUGAAAGCAUCUAAGCACGAAACUUGCCCCGAGAUGAGUUCUCCCUGAGACUUAGAGUCUCCUGAAGGAACGUUGAAGACGACGACGUUGAUAGGCCGGGUGUGUAAGCGCAGCGAUGCGUUGAGCUAACCGGUACUAAUGAACCGUGAGGCUUAACCUUACAACGCCGAAG